GAUGAACGUUAGCGGGAGGCUUAAUACAUGCAAGUCGAGCGGUAAGUUUUUAUAGCAAUAUGAAGACCUAGAGCGGCGCACGGGUGAGUAACGCGUACACGACCUGGCCUAAACUGGGGGAUAGCCUUGGGAAACUGAGAGUAAUCCCGCAUGUGAUUAUGUUACUGAUGGUGAUAUAAUUAAAGCUUCGGCGGUUUAGGAUGGGUGUGCGUCUGAUUAGCUAGUUGGUAGUGUAACGGACUACCAAGGCGAUGAUCAGUAGGGGGCGUGAGAGCGUGACCCCCCCACACGGGUACUGAGACACGGACCCGACUCCUACGGGAGGCAGCAGUAAGGAAUAUUGGUCAAUGCCCGGAAGGGUGAACCAGCCAUCCCGCGUGAAGGAUGAAGGGGCUCUGCCUUGUAAACUUCUUUUGUAUGGGGCGAAAAAAAGGGGAUUUAUCCUCGACUGACGGUACCAUAAGAAUAAGCACCGGCUAACUCCGUGCCAGCAGCCGCGGUAAU
rnacentral:rRNA from 1 species